rnacentral:rRNA from 1 species
GACGAACGCUGGCGGCGUGCCUAACACAUGCAAGUCGAGCGGGGUUGAAGCGAGAGGUAACUCGAACUUCUACCUAGCGGCGGACGGGUGAGUAACGCGUGGGCAACCUGCCUCAAGGUCUGGGAUAACAGCCCGAAAGGGCUGCUAAUACCGGGUAUGCUUGUGGCCUCGCAUGGGGCUACGAGCAAAGGGGAAACCCGCCUUGAGAUGGGCCCGCGUCCCAUCAGCUAGUUGGUGAGGUAACAGCUCACCAAGGCGACGACGGGUAGCCGGCCUGAGAGGGUGACCGGCCACACUGGGACUGAGACACGGCCCAGACUCCUACGGGGGGCAGCAGUGGGGGAUCUUGCACAAUGGGCGAAAGCCUGAUGCAGCGACGCCGCGUGAGCGAAGAAGGCCUUCGGUUGUAAGCUCUGUCUGGAGGGACGGAAGGAAGUAGACGGUACCGUCCGGAGGAAGCCACGGCUAACUACGUG